rnacentral:rRNA from 1 species
UGGGGAAUAUUGGUCAAUGGGCGAAAGCCUGAACCAGCGAUUCUGCGUGAAGGAUGAAGCAUUACGGUGUGUAAACUUCUUUUUUGGGGGAAGACGAAUGACGGUACCCCACGAAUAAGGGACGGCUAACUACGUGCCAGCAGCCGCGGUAAUACGUAGGUCCCAAGCGUUAUCCGGAAUUACUGGGCGUAAAGAGUCUGUAGUUGGUCUUACAAGUCUACUUUCAAAUACCUCGGCUUAACCAAGGAAAGGGAGUGGAUACUGUAAGUCUGGAAGUUUUCAGGGGUAAGUAGAAUUUCCGGUGGAGAGGUGAAAUUCGUUGAUAUCGGAAGGAAUGCCAAAAGCGAAAGCAGCUUACUAUGAAUAUCUUGACAAUGAGAGACGAAAGUCUGGGUAGCAA